GGUUUAUUUCCCUGGCGAGAACAUGUUAUUGGAGAUUCAAAGGAAGAACCUGAGGACUUCAAGAGAUUGGAUAGAUGGCAAAUGGGUUGAAGUUGAGGGAAAGAAAGAUAUAAAGUCGAGUUUAACUGAUUUAUCCAAAUGCAGUAUCAAAGAACAUGGGAACUGCGAAAAACAGAUGGCUCCGAAGCUUGUGGCAAUGAAGACAACAAACUGCUGUCAAUUUCUAAGCAAUCAGCUGAGAAGCAAGACAAUGAUGCUCCUAAACUGAAAAGGCCAUGACGUAGUGAUUUUCUUG
rnacentral:misc_RNA from 1 species